GCAUAUCAUCACACUCCCUGUCUCCUUAAUCCACUCUUCCCAUGCAGCCGUUUAUCGUUCUUCCUUUUUAGGUUUUUGAAAUGGAGGCAGUGUGGGAGGGUGAGUGUUGAUAAUGGUGCGAAACAGAAAACAUCCUCAAGGUCCAUGGGGAGAUGGGUUGAUUGGGGUGUCAUGGCCUCCAUGAAACACUCUCUGGAGAGUUAUAGACAGGGAGCCCAACUCACUCGCUUGGAGAGGGGACCCAGAACACCAUCAAGCUAAAACAUGAGAGGAUCUAAGUGACGCUCCCAGAACUUUCAUCGAGAGACUCACAGCCACAUGUACCUGAGUGUGGAGAAGGAAGUGUCAUAUGUGUGUGGAGGUCAGAAGACAACUUUUUGGAGUUGGUUCUCCUACCAUGUGGUCCUGGGGAUUAAACUCAGUCAUCAGACUUGGCAGUUAGCACUUUUACCUGUGGAACAUCAUCUCACCGAGGUCCCUGUAGGUGCUUUAAAAAACUAAAUGAAACAUCAGAGUACGAGCUGAUAAACCACCCCCAGACCUUCUUUGUCUCCCACAAACCAUUCGGCCCUGACUGCAGCCCCUCAUCCUGCUGCAGGACUCUGUUUCCCCAUGUGGCCUCCCUGGAUUCUGCCUCAAGCCUGGUUGCAGCAUUUUCCUGGGCUCAUCCGUAAUCUCCUAGCCGGCUGCUGGGGUGGGGGCUUUGCUUUGUUUUGCAACCCUGGAACCCAUUGUGUAGCUGAGGAUGCUCUCGUACUUCUGAUCAUCCUGCUUCCAUCUCUGGCAUGCUGAGAUUACAGGUGUUACCACCAUGCUUGGCUUAUGUGAAAUGAGGGACUGAAUCCAGGUCUUUGUGCCGACAGAGCAAGCAUUCUACCUACUGAGCUACAGCCCAGCUCGCAGCCUGUUACUUUGAAUGGCACUUUCAUCUAAGUGGCUUUUUGUUUGGUCCUUUUCUUUUAGCUCCUUUCUAAGUGAUACAUUAGUCUUUAUCCAAAAGAUAACCCUGUGGUGAGCAUUUUUAACCCAUACAUCUUUAUCUUCUUCUAAAUGGAGUUCUUUCAGUUAGUACAUUAAAAGCAAGAAGUGUCAUCACGUUUUUCCUGGUUUAAAUGUAAUAUACAUUGGAAGCACCUCAGAUAUGCCUCCCCCCUACCAAAAUGCUCCUAUGACAUGGGGACAGCUUUGAGCAGAAAUCAACAGGCUCACUACUCUUCUCUCUUCUGUCUUACAG
rnacentral:lncRNA from 1 species